rnacentral:lncRNA from 1 species
CCAACCCCUAACCCCUUUAACAUCCUUCCACCUCCUCAGUACUAUUAAACACAAUUGCAUCCAAACCACACCCUUCAUUCUUACUCCUAGCCAUUAAUUUCUCCACACACUCCGUCCCCGCCCACCGCGUAUGAAAUGAUUUGUUUUGUUUUUUUGCCUAAAUUUAUUGUGCAGAUAAAUAAAAAUUUAUUCAAAUACAUCAUAGAAACAACAUUUUGAAUAAGUCAUUUUAUUCCCAAAAAUCACUCUCAUAUUGAAUGAAAAGACUAUAAACACCGUUAGGUAUAAAGAAAAAAAAAAUCAUUAAUAACAAGACGAAAAUAAAGCCAAAUUUUGAAUAUCACGCAAACAAAUUCGAAAUCCACAUAAUUUUAGCUAAUUACUUGGAAAUAAAGCAGCAAAACAUCAUCAUAACCGUGUCGCAGCAAAGAAAGCCACCAACCCGUUCAAAGACAGAUCCCGUAAAAAUUCUGGCCCCAUUGGCGAUUCUUCCAGCCCAAUUACUAACGAAAACGGGCACAAAACUCUCCUGCCCCUUCCGAACCUGAGCGAUUACACCAUUCUACUUGGAAUCGCCACCGGAGGAAUUAAAACCCAGACUCUCUUCAGAUUUCUGAUGAAGGAAUCAUUUAGGAGCUUUGAAUCAUUCCCAAGAGUUGAGAUCGUGAAAGUUGGGUCAAUUGGGGAUAAAGGGGAAAUCGGAGAUGAUGGAGUCGAUCGAGGAGUCUUAGCAAUAGGGUUUUUGAUUUGAGAAUUUUAAGAGGAAGAAGAAGCACGCAACUGAUCUUGUUUUGAUUUGGUUCUGUUUUUUAUUUUAUUUUAUUUUUU